GAUGAACGCUAGCGGCAGGCCUAACACAUGCAAGUCGAGGGGUAGAACACUUCGGUGUUUGAGACCGGCGCACGGGUGCGUAACGCGUAUGCAAUCUACCUUGUACAGGGGAAUAGCCCAGAGAAAUUUGGAUUAAUGCCCCAUAGUAUAUAACCUUCGCAUGUUGGUUAUAUUAAAGUUCCAACGGUACAAGAUGAGCAUGCGUCCCAUUAGUUAGUUGGUAAGGUAACGGCUUACCAAGACGAUGAUGGGUAGGGGUCCUGAGAGGGAGAUCCCCCACACUGGUACUGAGACACGGACCAGACUCCUACGGGAGGCAGCAGUGAGGAAUAUUGGUCAAUGGUCGCAAGACUGAACCAGCCAUGCCGCGUGCAGGAAGACGGUCCUAUGGAUUGUAAACUGUCUUUUAUACAGGAAGAAACCCCUCCCACGUGUGGGAGCUUGACGGUACUGUAGGAAUAAGGAUCGGCUAACUCCGUG
rnacentral:rRNA from 1 species